rfam:Triticum aestivum genome assembly, contig: Triticum_aestivum_CS42_TGACv1_scaffold_100493_2AL
AUUCUACUCCCUCCGUUGCACAAUACAUCCCUUCUAUUUGUCAAAAUAUAUAUGUAUCUAGACAUGUCUUAGUAUAUAGGUACAUCCAUUUUUGGACAAAUGGAAGUCAAGUAUUUUGGAACGGAGGGAGUACACA